rnacentral:rRNA from 1 species
CAGCAGCCACGGUAAUACAGAGGGUGCGAGCGUUAAUCGGAUUUACUGGGCGUAAAGCGUGCGUAGGCGGCUUCUUAAGUCGGAUGUGAAAUCCCUGAGCUUAACUUAGGAAUUGCAUUCGAUACUGGGAGGCUAGAGUAUGGGAGAGGAUGGUAGAAUUCCAGGUGUAGCGGUGAAAUGCGUAGAGAUCUGGAGGAAUAUCGAUGGCGAAGGCAGCCAUCUGGCCUAAUACUGACGCUGAGGUACGAAAGCAUGGGGAGCAAACAGGAUUAGAUACCCCCGUAGUCCCUGUCUCUUAUAC